AUUGAACGCUGGCGGCACGCUUAACACAUGCAAGUCGAGCGGUAGCAUGAGUAGUAGCGAUACUACUUGAUGACGAGCGGCGGACGGGUGAGUAACACGUAGGAACUUGCCCAAUAGAGGGGGACAACUAAGGGAAACUUUAGCUAAUACCGCAUAUACUCGAGAGAGGAAAGCUGCCGGAAGGUGGCGCUAUUGGAGAGGCCUGCGUCUGAUUAGCUAGUUGGUGAGGUAAAGGCUCACCAAGGCGAUGAUCAGUAACUGGUCUGAGAGGACGACCAGUCACACUGGGACUGAGACACGGCCCAGACUCCUACGGGAGGCAGCAGUGGGGAAUCUUGGACAAUGGGGGCAACCCUGAUCCAGCGAUGCCGCGUGAGUGAAGAAGGCCUUCGGGUCGUAAAGCUCUUUAGGUUGGGAGGAAGGUUGGUAUUUUAAGAGAUAACCAAUUUGACUGUACCGACAGAAUAAGCACCGGCAAACUCUGUGCCAGCCGCCGCCGUAA
rnacentral:rRNA from 1 species